rnacentral:lncRNA from 1 species
GUUUGCUUACAUUAGCCAUGGUAUAUGCAAAUACAGUACAGACUAUAAGAUUUAUUACUUCCUUAUAUUACGUUAUUCUGACAAUGGAAAGAUAAGCUUUUGCAUACGUCUGGAAAAGAAUAUCCUGAAAUCGGAAUGGGCAAGACAUCCUGAAAUUUUAGCAUUGUCUUACAUCCUAUAGAAGAAAUACCUUAGUCUGUCACAGUCAGCAUAUUAUGUCGUUUAAGUAUUCAAUAUUCCUUCAGUCAGCAAUAAUCAUGUUAUAAACCUUAUAAAAGCAUAAAAUACAUAUAAACAAGUUAACUAUUUAAUAUUCUUACAUUCCCCUCUUUGAGCAAUAAAACAAUUGCUCAUCUUAUCGAUAAAAUCUUACCAGGACAGAGAAACUUCCACAUGGUAUUUUCAGGGGUGCUAGUCACUCCCUGCGGGACUUUCAUUAAUUUCUUCACCUCGAUUCCCAUGUGGUAAUUCCUAAGGCCCAGUUUAAAGAUGGGUUGAUACCCUCCAGUGGCAGAGAGGAGAAUUUCUAAUUGUUUCUGUUCUGCAUUAUGGAUUCAUUUCUGUACUCACUUCCUCAAUGUACAACUAAGGUGACAGUUAUAUAAAAUCAUACACAAUAAAAUCAGGACUAUAAUAACAAAAUGAUAGAAGAAUGAUUUCAUUAUCUGAGAUCCAGUAGGGGACCAACCAGUAAAGCAUUGUACCAAUUAUGGGCUGAAUCAUUCUGAAUUUGUGAACUCACCUUAAGGAGUUCUCCUUUUAGGAUAUGUGUGGCUACCUGUGUAUGUUAUCUUUGGGAAAAAUAUAGUCCCCUGUGUAUGUGGGUGCCCACCAGGUUAAAGUCCUGGUAAAGAGAUCAUAAACUGGUACUGGUAAUGUGUUAAAUUGACAAGCUAAUUUAACAUCCUUUGAUAAUGUAUGAUAUAAUGUUAAAUAGCAUGAGCAUGAAAAAUGUGAAACAUUACCAGUUAACCAUCCAUUGCAUUUACUGGAUUGGGGUUUUAGAAGUAACCAAUCAUUAUCUGUGAGGUUACACAUUCCUCUAAUCUUCUCUAGUUGAGGAAUCAUUAGUGUGUUUUCUAAUGCCAAUCCUUGUUGUUGUAUCCAUAAAUACCUGAUGGCACAGGUACUCCAGUUACUUAGACCUGUAGUGAAUUUCAUAGUUGCAACAGUUAAAUUAUCUAAAUAAUUAUACAUUGAUUUAUCUAAAUCCAAUCCUAUAACCUGUGAUUUAACAACAAUUGGAGCCCAAUUUGCAGUAGCAUGAAAACCAGUCCCUAUAUGCAUGCUGGCCGUGUUUAACUUAUUCUUGAGGGUCUCCAUGUCUAUACUAUUUAGUAUACCCAUAGUGGUUCCAGCACCAUCUAACAGUGUGUCAUACCAUUCCCUUUUCUGCCUUUUGUUUGUUGUGUUACAUAAUGUUACAACAGGAGUAGUGAUUUUUAAUGACACAUGUACAGCUUGUAAGAAGGCAGUUGUAUUAAUACAUGUGGACGGAAUAGGUGUGUGUGUGUCGUUGUUGACUUUUGGUUCUAUGGUAGAGGAUAAAGGACAGUAAUAAGGUGUAAAAAUAUAAGGUAGUGUAUAGUUCUCAAUUGUAGUGUUGUUCAUAAUGACUAAUAUUUGUCCCCUUCUCCAAUUAAUGAUACCAGUUAUAUAAUCAUUAUUAAAAGUAAUAAGGCCUGUCUGUUUACAUUGAUAUGUAACCUUAACUGUGCACAUUUCUGCGUUAUAAGAUCUAACAAUUUUCUGUGAACCUUUAAACAAACAUAAUGCAUCGGUUUCAUUAGCUGUAGACACAUUUCAUAUGGGUAACUGGUACUUAUAAGGGUUACUAUUUGUCCAAUUCAUCCAAAUGCGUUCAGUCAAUGAAUGAUUGCAUAUUACAUGCUGAUAGAAAGGUGGUGGAGAAAGGUUCUUGAGGGAGCAUGUGUGACGAAUGCUAGAUGAGGGGCUAAGGCCUAAUUGGGCUGGGGGUAUUGAAGAAUUGUUCAUCAUGUCAGAGUCUUUUUCCAGAAACAGACAGGUUUCAAACUUGCCAUUGACUUGUACUCAUAAUGGCAUUCAAGGAACAAUAUCAGAGGGAGUAUAACAACUCCAGAAAGCAUAGCACACAACAUAAUCUUGGUCUCAGGUACGUAUGAUCCUCUCAAUCUACGAUAUGGUGUAAAAGCCAUGAUGCUUCGCUGAGGAGAAAUUCUUCUGUUUCCGAGCGAGGAGUGGUGUUGUCUUCCUUGGUUCCCCUCUUUGGACACAGCUUCACUCGGGAUGCGUGAAUCCAGAUGUCGUGGGAAUCUGUGAGGACAGCGGUUCUGGGUACAGCAAUCACAGUAGCAGGUGGUCCAAAAGGGUAUCCUCCUUUCUUGGUCCUGUUCAACUGACGGAUAUACACCUUGUCACCGGGCUGGUAUGAAUGAGUAGGUUCCUGUGAAGGUAAGGGAAAACUGCGAAGAAACAUUGUCAUACAUACCAUUCGGUUUUAUCAACAAUUCACCUUGUGGGGAUAUAUUCUUAUCUCAGCUAAAAUAGCUGGUAGAUAUCUAGUCCAAUUUACCCAUGUUCCUGGGUAAAUUCUGGGCUUUUCCUUAAUAGUCCUAUUCAUCCUUUCAACUACCCCUGUAUUCUGUGGAUGAUAGGGUAUAUGAAACUGCCAGGUAACUUGCAAGAAUUUAGCAAGUUCCUGGGCAACCCCACUUGCAAAUACCGGGCCAUUAUCAGAGCCAAUCUGCAGAGGGCAGCCAUACCUGGGAAUAAUUUCAGUAACAAUAAUCUUCACUAGAAUCUUCCCUAGAUAUCACAAAGGCCUCAUGCCAUCUACUAAACUGAUUAACUAUGACCAGUAAGUAUUGCUGUUUCUUACCAAUUUUGGAUACAUGAAUAAAAUCAAUCUGUAAGUGUGUAAAAAGAGCAGCGUUCACACGAUCUUACAAAAGACUGUACAUGCUGCCUGAGAUUCCUAAUAUAAAAUGAAUUCAUGAGGAAUUGAAUGGUGCUUGCUAUGUGCCUGACUGAUGAAAAUAAAGCAGCUUGCUUCAAGUAUGCCUAUUCUUCAAGUAUGCCUAUUCUCCCCUCUUUAGAGAACAGAUCAUUCUGAUCUUUCUCUAAACCUUAUUUAAUCCAAAAACAGAUUCUGGGUAUUAAAAAAAGAAUCUCAUAACCACUGAAGCGCUGGGCUGUCAUGUGUUGUGUGGUGAGAUUUGUCAGCUGAGUGACCUGGUGACUGGCAUGAAGUAUUGUAGGAUGCCCUAGUGUGAUAGUAGUAGCAGU